GAUGAACGCUGGCGGCGUGCCUAAUACAUGCAAGUCGAGCGAACAGACGAGGAGCUUGCUCCUACGACGUUAGCAGCGGACGGGUGAGUAACACGUGGUUAACCUACCUAUAAGACUGGGAUAACUUCGGGAAACCGGAGCUAAUACCGGAUAAUAUAUCGAACAGCAUGGUUCCAUAGUGAAAGAUGGUUUUUCUUUCACUUAUAGAUGGACAAGCCCCGGAUGAGCUAGUUGGUAAGGUAACUGCUUACCAAGGCUACGAUUCGUACCCGACCUGAGAGGGUGAAUGCGUACACGGGAAGUGAGACAGGGUCGAGACUCCUACGGGGGGCAGCAGUAGGGAAUCCUACGCGAGGGGGGAGAGCGGGACGGAGCAAAGCCGCGUGAGGGAUGAAGGACUACGGAUGGGAAAGCGAUGAUAGUAGGGGGGAAGAAAAGUGUAAGUAACUGGGCAGGUAAUGACGGUACCUAAUGAAAAAGCCACGGCUAACUCCGUG
rnacentral:rRNA from 1 species